CCUAGCCGGCCGCCGGCACCACCACCUCUUACUCGGCGGCCGCUCCAGCCCCCGAAGCCCGGAAACAGCCUCCACCACCGGCCGAGACGCGCAUGCGCGGGGACGUGGCAUUACGUGGCGGCUCGAAGGGCGAAGGCAAAGGGGGAGAGUAGGCUAAAAGAGGCCCGCCUCAGGAGGGCCACCCAAGCCCCGCCCGGUGCCCAGGCCCCGCCUCCCGCCGCAGGGCCACGCCUCCACCCCCUCCCUUUGAGGGCAGCUCCUGCUAGCCCCAGCCACCCACGUGGCCGUAGCCCAGCCCAGCCCGUAGGAGGCGAUCCAGAUAGUCUGCGCGUUUUGGCUUGCUAGGUUUUUAAUUGUCGCGGAGCGGGGCUUACUGCAGGCUGUCAAGUCUGGGGUCGUAUUUUGUUGAGUCGAAAGCGAAAUUUUCCCCCGGCCGACGUGACAGGGCUUUGUUUGGUGGUAAAAAGGGUGCUAGAGCCCCCUCCUUCCUCGGCCACUGGAGGGCGCAUUUCUCAGCUGUUGCUCUUCAAGCCUGCUAGAAGGAAUUCCUAGAUCUAAACACCAGCUCUCACAUGCAUAUGAGGUGAUUGAAAGCACCAGGGCUUGGAUCAGGCGCACCUUAGUCAUCAAGAUGUCGUGUUCCCCUUUUCUGAGAUAUCACACUCUUGGAGUUCAUGCCCUGCCUUGGAUGUUGUAGUAAUAUGAAAUUGCUAGUAGUUGUCAGCACACGUCACUUGAGGCCACACCUUUGCUCUUACUGUGCCCUCUGCCUGGGACAUCCGUUGUACAAACGUUGCACUUUCUUUGCUGGCUCCUUAAUCCGUCUUCAAAACUCAGGUCAAACAUCAUCUCCUCCAGGAAAUCUGAGCUUCUGGUUAGGCAUAAUUGCCCCUUCUCUGUGUUCUUCUUGCACCCUGUGCAAACUUCUUAAACCUUAUUUUGUUACAGUUGCAUGUGUCUGUUCAGUUAAUGUAUUUGUUCCUUGAAAGCAAAUUAUUUAAAAAAAAUGAUAAUUAUAUGGCCAUCCUUAUAUUUUUCUUAUUUAAUGGAGUCCCUGGGUAGUGCAAACAUUUAACACACUUGGUUGCUAACCCAAAGGUUGAUGAUUCAAGGCACCUGAAAAGAAAGUCCGGGUAAUCUACUUCCAAAACAUCAGCUGUUGAAAACCUUAUGGAGCACAGUUCUACUCUGACACAUACGGGGUCGCCAAGAGUCGGAACUGACUCAACGACAGUUGGUACGUUUUGGUAUAUGACCGUUGUUUUAUUUUUCUUGUUUAAAAUCAUAGCAUUUGCCAUUUUCCAGACUUUAGGUUUAGUUAAAUCAUCCUCCGUGGAAAUACGCAGCUUUGUGAAAUGCAUACUAUCAUUUUGUUUGUCACUGUUAAACAGAAAUAAUUUAGAUGAAGAUUCUCUCUGAAUUUCAGAGUCCUAGAGCAUGCUGUUGAUGCUGAAUAAUGGACUGCAAUACGUGUUUUUAAAAAUUAACUCAUUUCCUGCUUUUACUUUUUCUGUGUGUAUGUUUUCCCUUUGCGCUUACGUUUCUUUCUUCCUUCUCUCCUUCCUUUAUUGACCCAGUAUUGUUCUCUGUUACACUGAUUUUCUUGGCUCUCAUUUUCAAAGGGCAGUUCACUGUUUAUGAUAUUGGGUAUAACUUUCUAGAUUUGGGUUCCUAACACUACCCCAGAGGAGACAGUUUCUACUUAGGAGGCAUGUCCGAAAGCCACAUACCUGUCACCCAGUGAAGUGUGGUGUCUGGGCUAUGACCACAUGGUCUAACAGUAAUCAUAAUAGUUGGCACUUACAUGAUGCUUGUUAUGUGCCAGACCCUGGGCUAAGAGCUUUAUAUCCAACAGCUUUACAUGCAGCAGUUCCGUGAGGUAGGAACUACUUUUGUGCCUUUUUACAGAAGAGGACACAGACUCAGAGAACUUAAUAAAUUGCCAGUAUCAUGCAAGUUUUAGUUGCAGAGCUGGGAUAAGAACCAAGGUUCACCAGAUUUCAGAACCUAUGCUUUUAAGAAAAUGUAAAUACAUUCACACACACACACACACACACACACACACACAUAUUUUAAAAUAAAACAAUUUAUAGGAAGUUGCAAAGAAAUGUACAGGGAGAUCCUGUACAACCUUCACCCUGCUUCCCCUAAUGUUGAUACCUGGUUGCAUAGUGGUUAAGAACUACAGCUGCUAACCAAAAGGUGGGUAGUUCAAAUCUACCAGGUGCUCCUUGGAAACCCUUUGGGGCAGCUCUACUCAGUCCUGUAGGGUCGCUAUGAGUUGGAAUCAACUUGACAGCAUUUUUUUUUUUUUAAUAGUACAAUAUCAAAUCCAGGAAAUUGGCAUUGGUACAAUUCACAGAGCUUAUUCCAAUUUUAAAAUUUUAAGGAGCCUUGGUUGCACAGCGGUUGAGCGCUUGGCUGCUAACCAAAAGAUUGGCGGUUCGAACCCACCCAGCCACACUGGAGGAGAAGGACCUGGUGAUCUGCUUUUCUAAAUAUUACAGCCUAGAAAAUCCUGUGGAGCAGCUCUACUCUGUCACAAGGGGUCACUAUGAGUCGAAAUCGACUCGAUGGCACACAAUGAUAGCAGCAUUCUGAUUUUACCCAGUUAUGCAUUCAGUCAUUUGUGUGUGUGUGUAUUCGUUGGGGGGAGGUGUAUAGGCUUAUGCAAUUUUAUCACGUGUAGCUUGUAUAAUUAUGACACUUGAGAUACAUAAUUUCUAUCACCACCAGACUCCCUCACGGUGUGCCUUUAUAACCACACUUAGGUCUUCUCCCCCAUCCCUAACGCCUAAUGUUCUCUGUUUCUAUAAUUUUGUUAUUUCAAGAAUGUUUGUUAUUUCAAGAACAUGACAUCAUACAAUAUGUAACCUUUGAGAUUGGCUUUUUUCACUCAGCAUAAUUCCUUUGAGGUCCUCCAAGUCAUGUGCAUCAGUAGUUUGUUCCAUUUUACUGCUGAGUAGUAUUAAAUGGUGCAGAUUCACCCAUUGAAGGGCAUUUUAGUUGUUUCCAGUUUGGGGAUUAUGAAUAAGCUACUAUGAAUAUUUGUAUGCCAGUUUUUGCAGUAACAUGGAUUUUAAUUUUUCUGGAAUAAAUGCCAAAGAGUGCAAUUGCCAGGUCAUAUGGCAAGUGCGUUCUUAGUUUUAGACGAACUGCCCAGCUGUUUCCAGAGUAGCUGUAACAUUUUAUAUUCUCACCAGCAAUUCAUGGGUGAUCAUUUCUCUGCAUUCCUGCUAGCAUUUGGUGUCGUCACUGUUUGUAAUUUAGUCAUUCUGAUAGGUUUGUAGUGGUAUCUCAUUUUGAUUUUAAUUUGCAUUUCCCUAAUGGUUAAUGAGGUCCCUGGGUGGUGUAAAUGGUUUGCACUCAACUACUAACCUAAAGGUUGCCAGUUUGAAUCCACCCUGUGGUACUGAGGAAGAAAGGCCUGGUGACCUGCUUCCAUAAAGGUUACAGUCAAGACAACUCUGUGGAGCAGUUCUACUCUAACACGUUGGGGUCUCCAUGAAUUGGAAUUGACUCUACCACAGUGAGUUUGGCUUUUUUUGUUUUGUUUUGUUUGUUUGUUUGAUGGCUAAUGAUGUUGAAAAUCUUUUGAUGGGCUUAUUUACCAUCUGUACAUCCUCUUCAGUGAAAUGUCUGUUCAUGUUUUUUGGCCAUUUUCUUAUUGGAUUGCUUAUUUUAUACUGUUAAGUUUUAAGAGUUCCUUAUAUAUCCUAUAUUCAAGUCUUUUAUGAAUAUGUGGUUUGCAAUUUGCAUUUUCAUCUUCUUAAACAAGGUCUUUCUCAGAGCAGAAGUUUUAAAUUUCGAUUGGGUUCCAUUUUUCCUUUUAUGAAUCAUGCUUUUGGUGUCGAAUCUAAGAACUCUUCAGCUAGCCCAAGGUUCUGAAGAUUUUCUCCUAGUGGUUUAUAGUUUCAUGUUUUUACUGUAACUGUAUAGUAAGCAUUCACAUCGAGUUGAGUGAUUCCUUCCACCUCAUCUUUUCCAAAAUUAUUUUAGCUAUUCUACUUUUUUUGCUCUCAUAUAUAAAUUUUAGAAUAAGCUUGUCUAUGUCUAAAAAAAAAUUCUUUCUGGAACUUUGAUAAGAAUUUUAUUAACCCUAUAUAAUACUUAAAAAAAAUUUUUUUUUUAUUAAUACUUUGAAGAAAAUUGACAUCUUUACAUUAUUAAGUUUUUCAAACCAUGAAUAUGGCAUAUUUUACCAUUUAUUUAGGUCUUCUUUGAUUUCUUUCACCAGCAUUUUGUAAUUUUUAGUAUAGGAUUCUAUAAAUGUUUUGUAAACUACAUACCCAAGUAUUUUAUUUCUUGAGAACAAUCUUAAGUGGUUUGUGUUUUUAAUUUUGGUUUCUAUUUGUUUGUUGUUGGUAUAUAGAAAUGAAAAUUGAUUUUUGCGUGGUUGAUCUUAGUGUCCUGUGACCUUGCUGAACUCACUUAUUAGUUCCAGGAGUUUAUAUUUUGUUUGUUGUUUGUUUUUUAAAAAUUAGAUUCUUUGGGACUUUCUUUGUAGACAAUCAUGCCAUGUGCUGAAAGCGACAAUUUUACCUCUUCCUUUCCAGUCUGUGUGCCUUUUACUUCUUUUUCCUGCCUUAUUGUAUUUUUUUAAAUAUUUUAUGACUGAAACUUUUAGACAUAUGUAGAAGUAGACAAAAUAGAAUUACGAACCUGUAUACCCUUUACUGAACUUCAACAAUUAUCAGAUCAUGGGCAAUCUGUUUUCAUCUCUAGCCCUACCAGCUCUCUGCUGUCCUGUAUUGUCUUGAAGCAAAGACCAGAAAUCAUAAUUGUUUUAUCUGUAGGUAUUUCAGAAUGUAUCUCUAAAAGUUAAGGACUGUUUUAAAAACUACAGUACUAUCAUUAUACACGAAUAUACUAGCAACAAUUUUUUAACAUCAUCGGAUAUCCAGUUUAAAUUUCCAAUUGUGUUCAAAAUGUCACAUUUUUAUUAUAGUUUAUUUGAAUCAGCAUUCAAAUAAGGCCCACACAUUGCAGUUGGCUGAUGUGUCUCUUAAGUUUCAUUUAAUCUUUAGUUUCCCAUCCCCUGCCCACGUUUUGUGUGUGUAUGUGAUUCUUUGGAGAAACCAGUUCAUUUGUCCAAUAGAGUUUCUCAUAAUCUGGAUUUUGUUUAUUACACCCCUAGGAUGUUAAUACAUACUUCUGCCUUCUAUGUUUCCUGGAAAUUGGCACUUAGCUCUAAACACUUGAGCAGAUUCGAGUUUGAUUGUCUUGACAAGACUACUUCAUACAUGGUGUUGCUUCCAUCAGAAAACAUUAUCUGGUUGUCUAAUUUUGUGAUAGUUGUCUAUUUUUGUGAUAGGAGCCCUGGAGGCGCAGUGGUUAAGAGCUCAGCUACUAAUCAGAAGGUCCACAGAUUGAAUCCACCAGCUGCUCCUUGGAAACGCUAUGAGACAGUUCUACUCUGUUCUGUAGGGUCGCUACGAGUCAGACUCAACUCUAUGGCAAUGGAUUAUUUUUGUGAUCUUAGCAGCUGUUGAUCGAUAUUUAGGUCCAUUAAAUUAUCAUGGAUUGCAGGAUGGUAAUAUUUUCAUUCUAAUGUUACUUCUUCACUUAUUAGUUGGAAUACUUUUAUAAAGCAAAACUUCUCAUCUCCACUUGUGUACUUGAUAAUAUAGCUUGUAUAGGAACGGCAGUGUGAAUGCUUGCUUAAAGCCCAUUGCUGUCAAGUCGAUUCUGACUCAUAGUGACCCUACAGAACAGAGUAGAACUGCUCCGUAGGGUUUCCAAUGAAUGCCUGGUGGAUUUGAACUGCUGACCUUUUGGUUAGCAGCUGUAGCUCUUCACUACUAUGCCACCAGGGUUUCUGAAUACUUGCUUAUCUCCCUUUAUUUACCAGCUUUCAAAGUAAUGAGUUAGUUUCCUAGCAUCCUCUAAGAGUGAGUAAAGAUGUUAUUUUUAGGAUCAUUAUAAACUUAAGUAGACAUAUUCACUGUGUUUUAAUUUCUUGCAGUCAUUAAUUUUAUUGUGCUCAAACUGUCCUGUCUUUGGCCAUUAAGAACCUCUUCACCUUGGAUCAGGAUUAGUCCUUUUGAUGCAAGCUUACCAUCCCUUGCUGUUUGUAAGACAAGCUGUUCCCGGAGAGCUUGUGCUUUAAGCCCUUGACUAUACUGACUCUCCUGCUGGAAAACCACUGGUCUAAAUAGCUCAGCAUCCCUUAUGCGUGCUGAACUGAGGUCAUUGAUCUUAGCAUGGAACUUUAGUUAAAUAUGACUUUUGAAUAAAAACAUUUUUUAUACUCUGAA